rnacentral:rRNA from 1 species
GACUGCGGAGGAUCAUUAUCGUAGGGCUUCGGCCCUGUCGAGAUAGAACCCUUGCCUUUUUGAGUACCUUUCGUUUCCUCGGCAGGCUCGCCUGCCAAUGGGGACCACAAAAAACACUUUGCAGUACCUGUAACAGUCUGAACAAACAAAACAAAAAUUAAAACUUUCAACAACGGAUCUCUUGGUUCUGGCAUCGAUGAAGAACGCAGCGAAAUGCGAUAAGUAAUGUGAAUUGCAGAAUUCAGUGAAUCAUCGAAUCUUUGAACGCACAUUGCGCCCUCUGGUAUUCCGGGGGGCAUGCCUGUUCGAGCGUCAUUACAACCCUCAAGCUUUGCUUGGUAUUGGACAUUGCCAGUUUCUGGCAGGUCUUAAAAUCAGUGGCGGUGCCAUUUGGCUUCAAGCGUAGUAAUUCUUCUCGCUUUGGAGAUCCAGGUGGUUACUUGCCAAUAACCCCCAAUUUUUUCAGGUUGACCUCGGAUCAGGUAGGGAUACCCGCUGAACUUAAGCAUAUCAAUAAGCGGAGGA